rnacentral:rRNA from 1 species
UACGAAGGGGGCUAGCGUUGUUCGGAAUUACUGGGCGUAAAGCGUGCGCAGGCGGCCAUCCAAGUCAGUGGUGAAAGCCCGGAGCUCAACUCCGGAAUUGCCAUUGAAACUGUUUGGCUCGAGUACGAGAGAGGUGAGUGGAAUUCCCAGUGUAGAGGUGAAAUUCGUAGAUAUUGGGAAGAACACCGGUGGCGAAGGCGGCGCUCUGGACCGAGACUGACGCUGAGGCGCGAAAGCCAGGGGAGCAAACGGG